GACGAACGCUGGCGGCGUGCUUAACACAUGCAAGUCGAGCGGUAAGGCCCUUUCGGGGGUACACGAGCGGCGAACGGGUGAGUAACACGUGGGUGACCUGCCUUUAGCUCUGGGAUAAGCCUGGGAAACUGGGUCUAAUACCGGACAUGACCCUAUGGCGCAUGUUGUGGGGUGGAAAGCCUUGUGCGGCUAGGGAUGGGCCCGCGGCCUAUCAGCUUGUUGGUGGGGUGAUGGCCUACCAAGGCGACGACGGGUAGCCGGCCUGAGAGGGCGACCGGCCACACUGGGACUGAGACACGGCCCAGACUCCUACGGGAGGCAGCAGUGGGGAAUCUUGCGCAAUGGGCGAAAGCCUGACGCAGCGACGCCGCGUGAGGGAUGACGGCCU
rnacentral:rRNA from 1 species